rnacentral:rRNA from 1 species
UACGGAGGGUGCAAGCGUUGCUCGGAAUUAUUGGGCGUAAAGGGCAGGUAGGUGGUCUUAUUUGUCAGGGGUGAAAGCCUUGGGCUUAACCCAAGAAGUGCCCCUGAAACGGUAAGACUAGAGUGCUAGAGAGGUAAGUGGAAUUCCCGGUGUAGCGGUGAAAUGCGUAGAGAUCGGGAGGAACACCAGAGGCGAAGGCGGCUUACUGGAUAGCAACUGACACUCAACUGCGAAAGCGUGGGGAGCAAACAGG